UUUUUUUUUACUUACAGUGAUAUUCUUUCUAAUAGGUGGAUUUAUUGUUUGGAGGAAAAGACAUUCCUCAAUAAUAUUUCAAACUCUGAAGAUGAACUCUAUAAUAAAGCCUGGUACAAUUUAAGUAGUGACAAUUUAUAAAAUUUGUAUUUUUUUUUUAUUUUCUUGUAGAGCAAUUUCAAGUUCUAAUCUUUACCAUGAUUAGUGUAUUAGUGGUUUUAAACCGCAUUCAUAGACUUUUAAAAAUGCUAUACCAGCUUUAAGAAACUUCAUCCCCCCUGUAAGACAGCUUAUUAACCCUCCUCAACAUCAACCACUACACCAAGCAGCAGUCCAACCUAUACCACCUGUAGUACACCAGGAAGUCAUCCUACCCUUACCAGCACCUCCACUCAUUUUAAGAAGAAGCACCAGACAGUCCAUACCACCCAACAGACUUAAUUUGUGAUUAAUUUGUGUAUUAUGGUUUUUUUUUUAUUGUUUUCAAACCAAACUUUUAUAUAAUUUGUGUAAUUAAGAUGUACCUAACACUGUAGGGGGGAUAACUCUGUAAAAUCAGCUAAAUGUUUUAUUUAUGAUAUGUAUUUAAGGGCAUUGUAAUAAGCUUCUCAAUGGUUGAAAUUAGUGUUUGUUAAACUGUUAUAUACCCAGUGUAAUUUUUAUGAAGAAAUGGUUGGUUCAA
rnacentral:lncRNA from 1 species